AACCAAGUCGUUGAGGGCUUCAAUAACUGGCUACCUAACUUAAGCGUGGACUGCGAAGAUGUUGACGAUGUCUAAGUAACUUCCGAUAUCAGGGACGCUAUAUGCUACGGGUCUCGGACAACGUACCUCUCACUAAAAGCUAUAAACUACUCAUAGAAUGACACAAACGACGUUGGACAACUACAUACCCAGUUCGGAUUUAAAAGUAAGCGGCCUUUAAAUCCCCAAUACUGGGUAAAAUUAAUCAAUGAAUGCCUAACUGGCUCAAUAUCACAAAAAUCAAUUAAUUUAUGAAUGCUUGUGCAACUAAAGAUCGGUUAACGAAUUUCUUUCAAAAUUUGUAUAGUUUGCACAGCAAUGGCCGUUCAUAAUCUGCCUUUUACAACGGUCUCCCUUUUUUAAAAGAUAAUCUAACUGGAAUGUGACCUAUGACAUCCUAUAUGAUAGCUAGUGACGAAAAUAUCCUAAGAAUAUGCAACACAUCGUUCACAUCAUAUAUAGUAUGACCCAUUAGUAACUUAGGGUGAAUUUAACAUGUAACAACUGAAU